AGAGUUUGAUUCUGGCUCAGAACGAACGCUGGCGGCAGGCCUAACACAUGCAAGUCGAACGAUAUAGUGGCAGACGGGUGAGUAACGCGUGGGAACGUACCUUUCACUACGGAAUAGCUCUGGGAAACUGGUGGUAAUACCGUAUACGCCCUUAGGGGGAAAGAUUUAUCGGUGAAAGAUCGGCCCGCGUUGGAUUAGCUAGUUGGUGAGGUAAUGGCUCACAAAGGCGACGAUCCAUAGCUGGUCUGAGAGGAUGAUCAGCCACACUGGGACUGAGACACGGCCCAGACUCCUACGGGAGGCAGCAGUGGGGAAUCUUGCACAAUGGGCGAAAGCCUGAUGCAGCCAUGCCGCGUGAAUGAUGAAGGCCUUAGGGUUGUAAAAUUCUUUCGUCAGGGAUGAUAAUGACCGUACCUGAAGAAGAAGCCCCGGCUAACUUCGUGCCAGCAGCCGCGGUAAUACGAAGGGGGCUAGCGUUGUUCGGAAUUACUGGGCGUAAAGCGCACGUAGGCGGACUUUUAAGUCAGGUGUGAAAUCCCGGGGCUCAACCUCGGAACUGCAUUUGAAACUGGAAGUCUGGAGAUCAGGAGAGGUUAGCGGAAUACCGAGUGUAGAGGUGAAAUUCGUAGAUAUUCGGUGGAACACCAGUGGCGAAGGCGGCUAACUGGACUGAUACUGACGCUGAGGUGCGAAAGUGUGGGGAGCAAACAGGAUUAGAUACCCUGGUAGUCCACACCGUAAACGAUGAGAGCUAGUUGUUGGCAGGCAUGCCUGUCGGUGACGCAGUUAACACAUUAAGCUCUCCGCCUGGGGAGUACGGCCGCAAGGUUAAAACUCAAAGAAAUUGACGGGGGCCCGCACAAGCGGUGGAGCAUGUGGUUUAAUUCGA
rnacentral:rRNA from 1 species